rnacentral:ncRNA from 1 species
ACUUCCCCACAAAAUGCGGUCAAGCAUUUUGAACGUCGGCUCUGCCGACGGGAUCAAAGAGCCGAGAAAUCCAGUAAAGGAUUUCGAGUAAAACCGACCGC